rnacentral:rRNA from 1 species
UAGGGAAUCUUCGGCAAUGGACGAAAGUCUGACCGAGCAACGCCGCGUGAGUGAAGAAGGUUUUCGGAUCGUAAAACUCUGUUGUUAGAGAAGAACAAGGACGUUAGUAACUGAACGUCCCCUGACGGUAUCUAACCAGAAAGCCACGGCUAACUACGUGCCAGCAGCCGUGGUAAUACGUAGGUGGCAAGCGUUGUCCGGAUUUAUUGGGCGUAAAGCGAGCGCAGGCGGUUUCUUAAGUCUGAUGUGAAAGCCCCCGGCUCAACCGGGGAGGGUCAUUGGAAACUGGGAGACUUGAGUGCAGAAGAGGAGAGUGGAAUUCCAGGUGUAGCGGUGAAAUGCGUAGAUAUAUGGAGGAACACCAGUGGCGAAGGCGGCUCUCUGGUCUGUAACUGACGCUGAGGCUCGAAAGCGUGGGGAGCAAACAGG